CUGUUUUCAUCUCAGAAGGAAAGGGUCAGAGCAUUUGAUUAAGAAAGGAGAGAGAAACCUAGAGAGAGAAAAAUGCAGUACCUCGCUCAAGAUCAUCGAUCAUCCCUUUCGACGAUGGGGCUUUGAUUCUUCUCAGCGUCUGAGGUUGUGGAAGAUGACUUUCGACGAUGGGUGUAUUUGUGCGAAAUCGCUUCGUUUUUAUUGAGGUACAAUUCUCUCUCUCCUUUCUCUUAUGAGCUUUCUCCAACCCUCCACUGAAGCAACUCCUGGACUUUCCUCUCCAUUGAAGAAGCUUGAGAGGUUAUUUGAUGAUUCUUUGAUCUCCAGAAAUGGGUGAGGAGGCUACCAAAGUUGUUGUACCGGAGUCAGUUUUGAAAAAGCAGAAGAGGGAGGAAGAAUGGACUUUGGCCAAGAAGGAGGAUCAGGAUGUUCAGAAGAAGAAGAGAGUUGAAAUCAGGAAGCUGAUCACUAACUACAGUAGUAAAUUUGAUCACAUUAAUUAAUUACACAGAAUUCAGCAAGAAAGUGCAUCAGGAAUAAUAAUUUAAUUAAGAUUAUUUAUUUGCCGAAAGUAUGUUAAAAUUGUUGAUCCCACUAGCAACAAGCAUAUAUUCUUUCAUGAUUCUAACCUUCUAUUCAUAACUUCUUUGUAUUAAAAGGAGAAAUUAAAUCAUAAAAAUGUCUUAAUAGAAUAAUAUUUUGUCUUAAAAAAUUAUUGUAUUAAUAAACUUGAUAAAAGUCAGCUCUCUGAUUUGAUUCUUCUUGCUAUGUCAAUUGUUCUAGAAAUUACAUGUCUUUUAAAUGUUUAACAAUACUUAUCUUUUUAAUAAAUUAAUCAUAUACUACCUCCGUUAACUAUUAUGUGCAACAAAGGGGUAUUAUUUGUGGUGUUUGUUCUUGGUGUAUGGUUAUUUAGUAUGAUUAAGUUUCUGAUUAGCCUUGUUUAUUGUUAAUUAGGAGAGGGAAUUGAUCUGUCUCAGAAGGGAGACUAAAUUGAAGGGUGGAUUCUACGUCGACCUAGAGGCUAAGCUCCUAUUUAUCAUCCGUUUCAGUUCUUUUUUGUAUCAGGAUGAUUUUGUGUUGGGAAAGAAAUUGGGAGAAGAGGCUCUUAUAGUUGUUUAUAGGGUUUCUUAGUUAAUAACAAGAUGCCCUCUGUGAAGGUAUCUUUUUUGAUGGAUUGUCCAUGAUGAAUGUAUAUUUUUAUCUAUUCUGAUUUUCAUUUGGCAUAAAGAUAUUGUACUGAUUGAUUGAUGGUGUUUGAUGCAUGCAACUACAAGUGUUUGUUGUUUA